CGGGACACGUGGUAUCCUGUCUGAAUAUGGGGGGACCAUCCUCCAAGGCUAAAUACUCCUGACUGACCGAUAGUGAACCAGUACCGUGAGGGAAAGGCGAAAAGAACCCCGGCGAGGGGAGUGAAAAAGAACCUGAAACCGUGUACGUACAAGCAGUGGGAGCACAGAGCAAUCUGUGUGACUGCGUACCUUUUGUAUAAUGGGUCAGCGACUUAUAUUCUGUAGCAAGGUUAACCGAAUAGGGGAGCCGAAGGGAAACCGAGUCUUAACUGGGCGUUAAGUUGCAGGGUAUAGACCCGAAACCCGGUGAUCUAGCCAUGGGCAGGUUGAAGGUUGGGUAACACUAACUGGAGGACCGAACCGACUAAUGUUGAAAAAUUAGCGGAUGACUUGUGGCUGGGGGUGAAAGGCCAAUCAAACCGGGAGAUAGCUGGUUCUCCCCGAAAGCUAUUUAGGUAGCGCCUCGUGAAUUCAUCUCCGGGGGUAGAGCACUGUUUCGGCAAGGGGGUCAUCCCGACUUACCAACCCGAUGCAAACUGCGAAUACCGGAGAAUGUUAUCACGGGAGACACACGGCGGGUGCUAACGUCCGUCGUGAAGAGGGAAACAACCCAGACCGCCAGCUAAGGUCCCAAAGUCAUGGUUAAGUGGGAAACGAUGUGGGAAGGCCCAGACAGCCAGGAUGUUGGCUUAGAAGCAGCCAUCAUUUAAAGAAAGCGUAAUAGCUCACUGGUCGAGUCGGCCUGCGCGGAAGAUGUAACGGGGCUAAACCAUGCACCGAAGCUGCGGCAGCGACGCUUAUGCGUUGUUGGGUAGGGGAGCGUUCUGUAAGCCUGUGAAGGUGUACUGUGAGGUAUGCUGGAGGUAUCAGAAGUGCGAAUGCUGACAUAAGUAACGAUAAAGCGGGUGAAAAGCCCGCUCGCCGGAAGACCAAGGGUUCCUGUCCAACGUUAAUCGGGGCAGGGUGAGUCGACCCCUAAGGCGAGGCCGAAAGGCGUAGUCGAUGGGAAACAGGUUAAUAUUCCUGUACUUGGUGUUACUGCGAAGGGGGGACGGAGAAGGCUAUGUUGGCCGGGCGACGGUUGUCCCGGUUUAAGCGUGUAGGCUGGUUUUCCAGGCAAAUCCGGAAAAUCAAGGCUGAGGCGUGAUGACGAGGCACUACGGUGCUGAAGCAACAAAUGCCCUGCUUCCAGGAAAAGCCUCUAAGCAUCAGGUAACAUCAAAUCGUACCCCAAACCGACACAGGUGGUCAGGUAGAGAAUACCAAGGCGCUUGAGAGAACUCGGGUGAAGGAACUAGGCAAAAUGGUGCCGUAACUUCGGGAGAAGGCACGCUGAUAUGUAGGUGAAGUCCCUCGCGGAUGGAGCUGAAAUCAGUCGAAGAUACCAGCUGGCUGCAACUGUUUAUUAAAAACACAGCACUGUGCAAACACGAAAGUGGACGUAUACGGUGUGACGCCUGCCCGGUGCCGGAAGGUUAAUUGAUGGGGUUAGCGCAAGCGAAGCUCUUGAUCGAAGCCCCGGUAAACGGCGGCCGUAACUAUAACGGUCCUAAGGUAGCGAAAUUCCUUGUCGGGUAAGUUCCGACCUGCACGAAUGGCGUAAUGAUGGCCAGGCUGUCUCCACCCGAGACUCAGUGAAAUUGAACUCGCUGUGAAGAUGCAGUGUACCCGCGGCAAGACGGAAAGACCCCGUGAACCUUUACUAUAGCUUGACACUGAACAUUGAGCCUUGAUGUGUAGGAUAGGUGGGAGGCUUUGAAGUGUGGACGCCAGUCUGCAUGGAGCCGACCUUGAAAUACCACCCUUUAAUGUUUGAUGUUCUAACGUUGACCCGU
rnacentral:rRNA from 1 species